CCUGGGACAGUAACUCCCCUGCCUGGCAGCCCAAAUGCCGCCCUGUGACCAGAGAAUCCUCUCAGGAUGGGGUGGGGGCGCAGGAAGGCAGGACGUUCCAGUGUUUGCAGGACCCGCCUUCAAGUCCCCGGAUGGGCUAAAGGAAUGUGGGUGGGGCCCCAGCAUAUGCUACAAAAGUCUUCGUGGAGGAGGAUCCGCACUGAAACGCAGGCUGUCUUAGUCCCUUCAGGCUGCUAUAACAAAAAUGGCGUAAACUGGAUGGCUUAUAAACAACAAAUAUUUAUUUCUCACAGCUGUGGAGGCUGACAAGUCCAAGAUCAAGUUAUGGCAGAUUCAUUGUCUGGUGAGGACUCGCUUGCUGGCUCAUAAAUGGCCGUGUUCUCACUGCAGCCUCACAGGGAAAGGAAUUGUCUUCUCUGGGCGUUUCACCUUUUUGCUGAGGUCUUGCCUCUGCCCUUGGCUGCUGUAACUAGACUGUCUCCCAACAUCCCAGCACCCACAGGGACGUUCAGUUCUCUGCAGAGAAGAACUCCUACACCAAGAAUGGCCAGUGCUGAAAGGCCAAGGGACCCAGACACACCAACGCCUACUGUCCAAGGACUUUCUGUCCCCGUGGCUGUUGCUCCACCACCUGUUCAAGGACACAGAAACAGUGUGGAGGCUUUUCACCCAGGCUGCCAGCGGCCUUCACAAAUGAAGAUCCUACGGAACUUGAGACUACUCUUGUCUGUUUUCUCUGCCGCUAAUUCUUCACACAUACACUGUCGUGGGAGGAAGGAGGUGCAUCUUCAGAUACUCCAGGUCAUGAUUCCAACCUCAAAGCCAUGAGACGUGGGAGAUGGAGAUGAAGAGCCUCAGAGACUGUGCGCACCGUGGUGGGCGGAAUUGGGGGGGUACCCCAGCCAGCUGUGUGUGGCAAUGGGAAAAGUGUGGCCUCUGAGACCAAUGUGGCCACUGCUUAGCUGGAUGACAUUGGGACUUAGCCUCUCUAAAUAUCGGUUUCUUGUUAGUAGGGUUAUUGUUAUAACAAUUAGAUAAGAUGAUGUAAAUAAAAGAGCUUCAUAAAUGAAAGAAGCCAGAUCUCCC
rnacentral:lncRNA from 1 species